UACGUAGGGGGGCAAGCGUUGUCCGGAAUCAUUGGGCGUAAAGAGCGUGUAGGCGGCCCGGUAAGUCCGCUGUGAAAGUCGGGGGCUCAACCCUCGAAUGCCGGUGGAUACUGUCGGGCUAGAGUGCGGAAGAGGCGAGUGGAAUUCCGUGGUGUAGCGGUGAAAUGCGCAGACUAUCGGGAGGAACACCAAUGGCGAAGGCAGCUCGCUGGGACGGUACUG
rnacentral:rRNA from 1 species